UGUACAGCACUUUGAGAUAUCAGCUGAUGUACGAAGGGCUAUAUAACAUAAACUUGAUUUGAUUUAAGUGGGUGAGUGUUGUGUAUGUCCACUAGCACAUUAUGUGAUAAAAUGGCCUGUAAUACAUCAAUACUGCUUAUUCAGUUACAGAACAACAAGCUCAAUGAAACUGCAGUUAAUAGCAUAUAAAUAGAAGAAACCCUCUAAGACUCUUGGAUUGUGUAUUGCACCAUUCCUUAAAUGUGGCAUGGACUCUAUCUCCAAGGGAUACAGUGGUGGCCCGCUUGUGACAGAGAAGGACUCAGUAUGGUGGCUGGUAGGGGACACAAGCUGGGGAGAUGUCUGUGACCAGAGGAACAAACCAGGCGUCCAUGGAAACGUCGCCUUCUUCCUAGGCUGGAUCUAUGAACAAAUGCAGAAAUGAAGAUGAAAACUGAGAAAUAAUCAGGAUGAAAUGGUGGAAACAUUGUAUUUUUUUCUGAAUAGAAAAGCCAGAAAGAGAUGUUUGUCUACUUUUUGUACGUACAGUGUGUCAUCAGAAAUUCCGACGCUAUGUGCUACAUAUUGAAUUUGUAUGUAUGUAUUAAUUGAAUCAUUAAAUUACUACUUCUACAUCCUGA